rnacentral:rRNA from 1 species
GACGAACGCUGGCGGCGUGCUUAACACAUGCAAGUCGAACGGAAAGGCCCCUUCGGGGGUCCUCGAGUGGCGAACAGGUGAGUAACACGUGAGUAACCAGCCCUUGACUUCGGGAUAACUUCAGGAAACUGGGGCUAAUACCGGAUAGGAAUCCUUGCUGCAUGGUGGGGGUUGGAAAGCUUCGGCGGUUUUGGAUGGACUCGCGGCUUAUCAGCUUGUUGGUGGGGUAGUGGCUUACCAAGGCUUUGACGGGUAGCCGGCCUGAGAGGGCGACCGGCCACAUUGGGACUGAGAUACGGCCCAGACUCCUACGGGAGGCAGCAGUGGGGAAUAUUGCACAAUGGGCGGAAGCCUGAUGCAGCAACGCCGCGUGCGGGAGGACGGCCUUCGGGUUGUAAACCGCUUUCAGCAGGGGCGAAGCUUGUGGUGACGGUACCUGCAGAAGAAGCACCGGCUAACUACGUG